rnacentral:lncRNA from 1 species
UUUCCUAAAAGAGCAGAUCCAAGCAGAACAGUGUUUAAAAGAAAAUCUUGAAGAAACUCUGCAACUAGAAAUAGAAAACUGCAAGGAGGAAAUAGCUUCUAUUUCUAGCCUAAAAGCUGAAUUAGAAAGAAUAAAAGUGGAAAAAGGACAGUUGGAGUCCACAUUAAGAGAGAAGUCUCAACAGCUUGAGAGUCUUCAGGAAAUAAAGAUCAGUUUGGAAGAGCAGUUAAAGAAAGAGACUGCUGCUAAGGCUACCGUUGAACAACUAAUGUUUGAAGAGAAGAAUAAAGCUCAGAGAUUACAGACAGAAUUAGAUGUCAGUGAGCAAGUCCAGAGGGAUUUUGUAAAGCUUUCACAGACCCUUCAGGUGAGGCAUUUGGGGAACCACAUACAGAGCACGAAGGCAGUUUUGGGGGACAGAACCUUGCCGAUCCCUGACUUGACCACUGGCAGUAGCUAGAGGUUUAGAGACUGGCUGCUCCUACCUCCACCCCAAAUGUCUGACUCAUCAUUCAAGCCAGAAACCUGGUGUGUUCUUCACACUUGGCCCAUUUUUCUUUUUCUGUAUGCCUUGCCAAUUUUG